AUUGAACGCUGGCGGCAGGCCUAACACAUGCAAGUCGAACGAGUGGCGGACGGGUGAGUAAUGUCUGGGAAACUGCCCGAUGGAGGGGGAUAACUACUGGAAACGGUAGCUAAUACCGCAUACCAUCGGAUGAGCCCAGAUGGGAUUAGCUAGUAGGUGGGGUAACGGAGCACCUAGGCGACGAUCCCUAGCUGGUCUGAGAGGAUGACCAGCCAAACUGGAACGGAGACACGGGCCAGACUACUACGGGAGGCAGCAGUGGGGAAUAUUGAACAAUGGGGGCAAGCCUGAUGCAGCCAUGCCGAGUGUAUGAAGAAGGCCGUCGGGGUGUAAAGUACUGUCAGCGAGGAGGCGUUACUCGCAGAAGAAGCACCGGCUAACUCCGUGCCAGCAGCCGCGGUAAUAC
rnacentral:rRNA from 1 species